rnacentral:rRNA from 1 species
GAUAUUGCACAAUGGGGGAAACCCUGAUGCAGCGACGCCGCGUGAGCGAAGAAGGCCUUCGGGUCGUAAAGCUCUGUUUUGAGGGAAGAAGAAUGACGGUACCUCAGGAGAAAGCCCCGGCUAACUACGUGCCAGCAGCCGCGGUAAUACGUAGGGGGCAAGCGUUAUCCGGAAUCACUGGGCGUAAAGGGUGCGUAGGCGGCCAAUAAAGUCAGAGGCGAAAGGCUACGGCUCAACCGUAGUAAGCCUUUGAAACUUAUUGGCUUGAGUGCAGGAGAGGAGAGUGGAAUUCCUAGUGUAGCGGUGAAGUGCGUAGAUAUUAGGAGGAACACCAGUGGCGAAGGCGACUCUCUGGACUGUAACUGACGCUGAGGCACGAAAGCGUGGGGAGCGAACAG